UGACUACAGGGGUAUCUAAUCCCUUUCGCUCCCCUAGCUUUCGUCCCUCAGUGUCAGUGCAGACCCAGCAAGGCGCCUUCGCCACCGAUGUUCUUCCCAAUAUCUACGCAUUUCACCGCUACACUGGGAAUUCCCCUUGCCCCUAUCGCACUCUAGCCACCCAGUUUCAAUUGCCCUUAUAGAGUUAAGCUCUACGCUUUAACAACUGACUUGGAUAACCACCUACGGACGCUUUACGCCCAAUAAUUCCGGAUAACGCUUGCCUCCUCCGUAUUACCGCGGCUGCUGGCACGGAGUUAGCCGAGGCUGAUUCGAUAGGUACCGUCAUUGUGUUCUUCCCUAUCAAAAGAGGUUUACAACCAGUAGGCCUUCCUCCCUCACGCGGUCUUGCUCCGUCAGGCUUUCGCCCAUUGCGGAAAAUUCCCCACUGCUGCCUCCCGUAGGAGUCUGGGCCGUGUCUCAGUCCCAGUGUGGCUGAUCAUCCUCUCAGACCAGCUACUGAUCGUCGCCUUGGUAGUCCCUUACACUACCAACUAGCUAAUCAGACGCGAGCUCUUCCUCAGGCCAUAUAAGUUUUACCUCUCGGCACAUCGGGUAUUAGCAGUCGUUUCCAACUGUUGUCCCCAUCCUAAGGGUAGAUUCUCACGCGUUACUCACCCGUCCG
rnacentral:rRNA from 1 species